rnacentral:rRNA from 1 species
GAUGAACGCUGGCGGCGCGCCUAACACAUGCAAGUCGAACGAUUAAAGCACCUUCGGGUGUGUAUAAAGUGGCGAACGGCUGAGUAACACGUGGGCAACCUGCCCCUCACUCUGGGAUAGCCUCCGGAAACGGUGGGUAAUACCGGAUACUCCGUGAUCAUCGCAUGGUGAACACGGGAAAGCCUUUACGGUGAGGGAUGGGCCCGCGGCCUGUUAGCUUGUUGGUGGGGUAACGGCCUACCAAGGCAAUUAUGGGUAGCUGGGUUGAGAGACCGACCAGCCAGAUUGGGACUGAGACACGGCCCAGACUCC